rnacentral:antisense_RNA from 1 species
AAGGACGAGAGAAAAGCACGGUGCCCCUCGAGUCCUCUCCGCCCCCUCGGUCCUAACCCCCGCCCAGGCUCCGGGUCUUCCCCUUUGUGUGGCCUGGACUCUCUCCCAGCUACAACUUUGGUGGGAUCCCAAAGGAAGGAGGUGGCGGGGCCUACGGAAGAGGAUACUCAGGAGCCAGGGAGAAGGGCUAGAAACGAAUAAUGUGACUCCAGAGGCGGAACCCCGACCCCCUCUAUUUCCCACCCCGGCUUCACCCGGAGACGAAAGCUGUGGGCAUCUUCAGUUUAACGGACUUCGCGGAAAAGGAGAGAAGGGGGGCGAGGGAAAUGGCAGUUUGUGUCCCAGGGGUUCUUCCGCUUCUUCUUGCCGCCUCCUAAAGACAAACAAACACAACCCCCCACCCUCCGGGGUAUCAGGGAACUCGUGGGACCGUGAAAAAGUCGUUCCCAAAUCCGGCCGCCUGCGGACGUCGGACUUCCGCGGGGCCGGCGCCCGUUGGCGUCUGCAGCUCGGCGCAGCCUCGCGGGGCUCCAGCGAGCGGGGUCUGCCACCCCUCGCGCCCUCCUGCGGCUUUCCCAGCGCUGGGCCAGUGCAGGCCGAGCCCUGGCGUCUCUGCCUCGCUGGGUGGGGGUCCGGGGUGCGGCUGUCCAGAGGGCUGCCCCUCCCGCGGCCCGCGGGGAACGGGCGCAUCCCACCCUGCUCUGCAGGCCGCCCUUCUGCCAGCUGGGAGGCGAGGGCACACGUCCUAAGGCUGCCCAAGGGGGAGAGGAAUCGCGCCGGUAGGAGAGCGCACGGGAACCAGGAACGCAAGGCCGGCACAGGGGAGCCGAAGGAGCCAGACAGGGCCCGGCCACGCGCCCUCGUCGCUCGGCUGCGCUCCGUGACAGGAACCCAGGCUCCCACGCACGGGGAAUGCCUAGAACGGAGCUGGAAUGGAGGCCCCUUUGUGUGACUAAAUUUGGCAAGAAUAUGGAUCUGAGCCAGUCUUUCCACGUGUGCUCCCAGCUCCCAGCUGAGAAGGCCAAGGGUUCUCUUCCGGAUGCAGCCUUUUUGAAAUUUAUUCUUGGCCAAAAGAGGAACAUAGAUCAAGGAUUCUAUCUUGCUUUUGGGAGGCAAUGGAGAGACCCUGAAAACACUUAAGGAAAACCUGAGGCCUUCUAUAAGAAUAUAAACUCCCUGAAAGGGGAGGCAUGGCCAAGCAAUUUACUUAUUUUUAUAAAUCUCUUUCCUGGGUGGAUAUGGUAAUGGAUGUGUUUCUUGAAUUGUGGUAAAUGUACCUCAUAAAAUGGAUGGACUGGGGCUGUAUUCUCAGGCUUCCUGGGCUCCGUUGGCAUUGGGCAAGCACGUAAUGCCUGGUUUGAGGCUAGAAGCCAAAGCCACAACCUUCUUGUAGUACCAACUGAGCCAUAGGGAGAUUAAUGCAGAACAAGGUCAUUAGUCUCAUUGUUUAUCCAGUUACUAGCCGCAUAGAUUUGUGUAAAUUUCAGCUACAGUGGUUGCAGCCUGCCUUUGAUGUGUGUAAUCUGUACAUUUUAGUGCUCCGGAAAAGUGCCUGAUUGACAAGAUCUACAUCCAAUGCCCAGAAAACACAUUCUACACAGGCACAGUGAAGCGUGGAGUUGAACAAUUUUCCAGUGAGUUCCAUCAAAGUAAAUAAACCAACCUAGAGCAUC